UAUAUGAUCACCAUCAUGGCGAAUACUGGCAUCCAUCGACUAGACUAGAAAAACAACAGUAGCUGCCCAGAAGAAGAGGAAUUGCAAGAACCAAUUCACGAUGGCACGUCCAAGGAACAACACAAAUAUUUUGUUCUUGGUUGUAGCUCUUCUGUUCAUGUCUACCCCCUUCCUGGCCUGUAACGCAGACAGUAAGAACAUACAUUUCUCCUGUACAAUUUUUUUUAAACAAUGCAAAAAAUUUGCUUUUUAUAUUGAUAUAGUAGGAGCAAAGGACAACCCGGCCGAAGCCAACAAUUUGCUUCCAUCAUCUUCUUCUUUAUAGAUCUGUUCUUUCUUUCUCUUGGUACAAAACUGACCGUUCAUCUCUGUUCGUGCCGCUGUGCAGUCGACCCACCCAGCUGGUGCACGCCGGAGGCGGUUUGCCAGGACCCGGUUACGCCGGGAAACAGGGAAACGUGCAAAAGCAUCUGCAAAAGUUUUGGCUACAACCCGGAACAAGCCUACUGCAAUCCCGAUCCCACUCCGAGGUGCUGCUGCAUCUAUUAAGCGCAAGAAAUGAUAAUGCCACUGGAGUGGCAGAUGAUGGAUGACAAAGCUAGCAAAUUCAUUUUUAUGUGUCUAUCUCGUCUCAUGUAAAAAUCGGAACAGAUCAUGGUCCAGUCCUGUCCGUGAAUAAAGAUUAGAAAAGUUUCUUAAAUAGCCGUGUUUGCAGAAUUAAUAAGUCAACAUCUGGUAAACACAAGGGGACGAAAUGUCUUGACUAAAGACGCGAAAUUUACUCUUCGGAAGCGCUAGCGAUCAGACUACUGAUAGCUGGCUUCCCAUCAGACUAGUGCUGCAUUGUCCGAUUGAAAUUGCCUGGAAUGUCUGAUUGGAGAUGUGGGCCUAGGUAGUUUGCAUGUGGUGUACUAUUAAUUAUGAUUUGUUUCCG
rnacentral:lncRNA from 1 species